rnacentral:lncRNA from 1 species
GUCGAAAUUGCCCUCCUUCUCCUCCCCUCCAUGCAUCUAUAAAUUGAGGAGCCAUAGCAGGGCUUGAAGAUAUAGCAAGCAAAGCAUUUUUUUCAUUACUCAGAAACAAAAACCCAGUUUCAGUAAAUCAAUUCCGAUCAACACCAUGUCUGGAAAGUGCGACAGCUGUGACUGCUCUGACGUUUCCCAGUGCACGUAAGUAGCUUCUCCAUCUUCUUAAUACAUGCAUGUUAAUUUGUUAGCUAGCUAGUAAUUAAGUUCUUCAUUUAUCAGAUUAGGAUUUCUUUUCUUUUGCUGAUCUAAGAGCGAUUGCUAUGAGAGGGUUAGGGUUCAACUACUCUCGACCGUGUUUGUGCAUAUGUUUAUAUGUCAUAUAUACUCGACGACUAAAACAAAAUAGCUCGUAUGUUUUGCUCUUAAUAUAAAUUAAGCAAGAAAAGUACUACUUGUGUUUGGUCGGAUUGGCUCAUAGAUCACCUUGAGCAAGAUAUACUCAUGUACCUAAAAUUUAUAUAUGAUGUUCAUUUUCUUUCAACCGUAAUCGGAGAAAAAAGGAAAAGCUAGGUUAAUUUAUAUACACACAAAUAUGUACAUGUUUUUGUUUAAAGCCUACCCAUAAACAUCAUUUGAAGUGUUUGAUUCUAUUCUGGAUAUGUUCUUAAUUUAAGGGAUCACAAUAAACUUUGUUCUCUCUGAAACUGCAGGAAGAAGGGAAACAGCUUGGUCAUUGUUGAGACCGAGAAGAGGUAACCACUCAAUUAAUUCUCCAAAUUAUAUAUAAUGUAAACAAUCUAAGAAUUAUUAGAUGUUUCUUAUAUAUAUCUUUGUUUUCAUUCCUGUUGGAGGAGGAAGAGCAACUUAAAACAAAUCUGAUUCUUCUUGCAGCUACGACACUGUUGUCAUGGAUGCACCAACCGCCGAGAACGGCGGAAAGUGCAAAUGCGGCACCACCUGCUCUUGCAUCGACUGCAAGUGUGGACAUUAAGCUCCCCUAUUCGACAACCAAUGGCUGCCAUAUAAUUAUUACCUAGUGAGAAGGAAAAAAGAAAGGAGUCUCGUCAAUAAAGGAUUCGUGAGAAUCAAAUAACGUACUCUGUUUAUUUGUGAUAGUAGUUUGAUCGAGUCUGUGAGUAAGUGAUCGAGUGAGAGACGUACUCUACUCUGUGUGUGUCAAUCAUGUUCGUGUUCUUUGGUAGCCAUGUAAUGUUCAUCUGGUCAUUAUCUGUGGCCUUGUGAUCAUGUUUAAUCAAUGAAAUUACUAUUAGUAUAUACAUGCUCCAUCUUCACUACGUACUCUUAAUCAGCUAGCUUUCAUACUAGUUAUACCCACGCCUUGGCGAGGUGUAAUAUCCACAUUAUGCAUAUUCCACAUAUGUAUAAAAGCUAUCACAAAAACAAUCUUUAUAAAACAAAAUAUCUAGCUAGUCUUGUAUUCUAUCUAAAAUAUAAAUGUUCCAAUUGUUUUAAUUUGUACGUACGUGUAUACAAAGCAAAAGAGAAAAUGAUAGAAAUAGUUCUGUGAAACAACCGGGUAUACUAAAUUAUCACGGUAAUAUAUUAAUAUCUAUAGACUCUUCUGUUUUGUGAGAAAU